AGGAAUAUUGGUCAAUGGGCGCAGGCCUGAACCAGCCAAGUAGCGUGAAGGAUGACUGCCCUAUGGGUUGUAAACUUCUUUUAUAAAGGAAUAAAGUCGGGUAUGUAUACCCGUUUGCAUGUACUUUAUGAAUAAGGAUCGGCUAACUCCGUGCCAGCAGCCGCGGUAAUACGGAGGAUCCGAGCGUUAUCCGGAUUUAUUGGGUUUAAAGGGAGCGUAGAUGGAUGUUUAAGUCAGUUGUGAAAGUUUGCGGCUCAACCGUAAAAUUGCAGUUGAUACUGGAUAUCUUGAGUGCAGUUGAGGCAGGCGGAAUUCGUGGUGUAGCGGUGAAAUGCUUAGAUAUCACGAAGAACUCCGAUUGCGAAGGCAGCCUGCUAAGCUGCAACUGACAUUGAGGCUCGAAAGUGUGGGUAUCAAACAGGAUUAGAUACCCUGGUAGUCCACACGGUAAACGAUGGAUACUCGCUGUUGGCGAUAGACUGUCAGCGGCUUAGCGAAAGCGUUAAGUAUCCCACCUGGGGAGUACGCCGGCAACGGUGAAACUCAAAGGAAUUGACGGGGGCCCGCACAAGCGGAGGAACAUGUGGUUUAAUUCGAUGAUACGCGAGGAACCUUACCCGGGCUUGAAUUGCAGACGAAUUGCUUGGAAACAGGCAAGCCGCAAGGCGUCUGUGAAGGUGCUGCAUGGUUGUCGUCAGCUCGUGCCGUGAGGUGUCGGCUUAAGUGCCAUAACGAGCGCAACCCUCGUGUCCAGUUACUAGCAGGUUAUGCUGAGGACUCUGGACAGACUGCCAUCGUAAGAUGUGAGGAAGGUGGGGAUGACGUCAAAUCAGCACGGCCCUUACGUCCGGGGCUACACACGUGUUACAAUGGGGGGUACAGCAGGCAGCUACCGGGCGACCGGAUGCCAAUCCCGAAAGCCUCUCUCAGUUCGGACUGGAGUCUGCAACCCGACUCCACGAAGCUGGAUUCGCUAGUAAUCGCGCAUCAGCCACGGCGCGGUGAAUACGUUCCCG
rnacentral:rRNA from 1 species